rnacentral:lncRNA from 1 species
AGGCAUUAUUUUCUUAUAAAAAUAAUUAUUUUAAUACUUCUUAAAUAAUAAUUUCAAUAUGAAAUGCAAAAUAUUUAAAUGUUUUUACUUUAUUGCAACUUUUAUCUAUAUAAAAAUUGGUCGUUAUAUAGAUUUACAUAAUAAACCAAAUCAAACUUAUCACACAAAGAGGUUGGCCUAUUGGUGAAGACCUGGGACUUGAGAGUUUGCUCCUCUUAAUGUUUCAAGUUCAACACCUAGUAGUGUCCACUUUUUGUUAUUUAUCUCCUUUGUUAUUUUUUACUUUUGUUUAAGGUCCCAAUAAAAUCUACUAUUUAUUUAUCAUCUUAUCAUUUAAAUAUUGUUCGUAAAUGUCUUUUAAAAUUGCAUUUAAAUGCUNACAUAAUAAACCAAAUCAAACUUAUCACACAAAGUGGUUGGCCUAUUGGUGAAGACCUGGGACUUGAGAGUUUGCUCCUCUUAAUGUUUCAAGUUCAACACCUGGUAGUGUCAACUUUUUG